CCUACGGGUGGCAGCAGUGGGGAAUAUUGCACAAUGGGGGAAACCCUGAUGCAGCGACGCCGCGUGAGUGAAGAAGUAUUUCGGUAUGUAAAGCUCUAUCAGCAGGGAAGAUAAUGACGGUAACUGACUAAGAAGCCUCGGCUAACUACGUGCCAGCAGCCGCGGUAAUACGUAGGGGGCAAGCGGUAUCCGGAUUUAAUGGGUGGAAAGGGAGGGGAGGUGGCAGGGCAAGUCAGAUGUGAAACCCCGGGGCUCAACCCCGGGAGUGCAUUUGAAACUGUCCAGCUGGAGUGCCGGAGAGGUAAGCGGAAUUCCUAGUGUAGCUGUGAAAUGCAUAGAUAUUAGGCGGAACACCAGUGGCGAAGGCGGCUUACUGGACUGUAACUGACACUGAGGCUCGAAAGCGUGGGGAGCAAACAGGAUUAGAUACCCUGGUAGUC
rnacentral:rRNA from 1 species